GAUGAAGAACGUAGCGAAAUGCGAUAACUAAUGUGAAUUGCAGAAUUCCGUGAAUCAUCGAGUCUUUGAACGCACAUUGCGCCCCCUGGUAUUCCGGGGGGCAUGCCUGUCCGAGCGUCAUUGCUGCCCAUCAAGCACGGCUUGUGUGUUGGGUCCUCGUCCCCCCCGGGGGACGUGCCCGAAAGGCAGCGGCGGCACCGCGUCCGGUCCUCGAGCGUAUGGGGCUUUGUCACGCGCUCUGCAGGCCCGGCCGGCGCUGGCCGACGCGAAAGCAACCAUUUUUUCUCCAGGUUGACCUCGGAUCAGGUAGGGAUACCCGCUGAACUUAAGCAUAUCAAUAGAGGA
rnacentral:misc_RNA from 1 species